rnacentral:rRNA from 1 species
AGUGAACGCUGGCGGUAGGCCUAACACAUGCAAGUCGAACGGCAGCACAGUAAGAGCUUGCUCUUACGGGUGGCGAGUGGCGGGCGGGUGAGGAAUACAUCGGAAUCUACUUUUUCGUGGGGGAUAACGUAGGGAAACUUACGCUAAUACCGCAUACGACCUACGGGUGAAAGCAGGGGAUCUUCGGACCUUGCGCGAUUGAAUGAGCCGAUGUCGGAUUAGCUAGUUGGCGGGGUAAAGGCCCACCAAGGCGACGAUCCGUAGCUGGUCUGAGAGGAUGAUCAGACACACUGGAACUGAGACACGGUCCAGACUCCUACGGGAGGCAGCAGUGGGGAAUAUUGGACAAUGGGCGCAAGCCUGAUCCAGCCAUACCGCGUGGGUGAAGAAGGCCUUCGGGUUGUAAAGCCCUUUUGUUGGGAAAGAAAAGCAGCAGGUUAAUACCCCGCUGUUCUGACGGUACCCAAAGAAUAAGCACCGGCUAACUUCGUG